GAUGAACGCUGGCGGCGUGCCUAAUACAUGCAAGUCGAGCGAACGGACGAGCAUCUUGCUUCUCUGAUGUUAGCGGCGGACGGGUGAUUAACACGUGGAUAACCUACCUUUAAGACUGGGAUAACUUCGGGAAACCGGAGCUAAUACCGGAUCAUAUUUUGAACCGCAUGGUUCAAAAGUGAAAGACGGUCUUGCUGUCACGUAUAGAUGUAUCCUCGCUGCAUUAGCUAGUUGGUAAGGUAACGGCUUACCAAGGCAACGAUGCAUAGCCGACCUGAGAGGGCGAUCGGCCACACUGGAACUGAGACACGGUCCAGACUCCUACGGGAGGCAGCAGUAGGGAAUCUUCCGCAAUGGGCGAAAGCCUGACGGAGCAACGCCGCGUGAGUGAUGAAGGUCUUCGGAUCGUAAAACGCUGUUAUUAGGGAAGAACAUAUGUGUAAGUAACUGUGCACAGCUUGACGGUACCUAAUCAGAAAGCAACGGCUAACUACGUG
rnacentral:rRNA from 1 species